GGAGAAUUGCUUGAGCCUGGGAGAUGGAGGUUGCAGUGAGCUGAGAUCGCACCACUGCACUCCAGCCUGGGCAACAGAG
ensembl:miRNA